AGAACGAACGCUGGCGGCAGGCUUAACACAUGCAAGUCGAACGCCCCGCAAGGGGAGUGGCAGACGGGUGAGUAACACGUGGGAACGUCCCCCUCGGUUCGGAAUAACUCAGGGAAACUUGAGCUAAUACCGGAUACGUCCGAGAGGAGAAAGAUUUAUCGCCGAGGGAUCGGCCCGCGUCUGAUUAGCUAGUUGGUAGGGUAACGGCCUACCAAGGCGACGAUCAGUAGCUGGUCUGAGAGGAUGACCAGCCACACUGGGACUGAGACACGGCCCAGACUCCUACGGGAGGCAGCAGUGGGGAAUCUUGGACAAUGGGCGCAAGCCUGAUCCAGCCAUGCCGCGUGAGUGAUGAAGGCCUUAGGGUUGUAAAGCUCUUUCGACGGGACGAUAAUGACGGUACCGUAGAAGAAGCCCGGCUAACUUCGCGCCAGCAGCCGC
rnacentral:rRNA from 1 species